rnacentral:tRNA from 1 species
GGUGUAGCUCAAGUGGUAGAGCGCGUGCUUAGCGUGCACGAAGUCCUGGGUUCCAUCCCCAGGAUCGCCU